rnacentral:rRNA from 2 species
GGGGGAUAUUGCGCAAUGGGGGCAACCCUGACGCAGCAACGCCGCGUGAAGGAUGAAGGUUUUCGGAUUGUAAACUUCUUUUAUUAAGGACGAAACUUGACGGUACUUAAUGAAUAAGCUCCGGCUAACUACGUGCCAGCAGCCGCGGUAAUACGUAGGGAGCAAGCGUUGUCCGGAUUUACUGGGUGUAAAGGGUGCGUAGGCGGCUUUGCAAGUCAGAUGUGAAAUCUAUGGGCUCAACCCAUAAACUGCAUUUGAAACUGUAGAGCUUGAGUGAAGUAGAGGCAGGCGGAAUUCCCCGUGUAGCGGUGAAAUGCGUAGAGAUGGGGAGGAACACCAGUGGCGAAGGCGGCCUGCUGGGCUUUAACUGACGCUGAGGCACGAAAGCGUGGGUAGCAAACAGGAUUAGAUACCCUGGUAGUCCACGCUGUAAACGAUGAUUACUAGGUGUGGGGGGUCUGACCCCUUCCGUGCCGGAGUUAACACAAUAAGUAAUCCACCUGGGGAGUACGGCCGCAAGGUUGAAACUCAAAGGAAUUGACGGGGGCCCGCACAAGCAGUGGAGUAUGUGGUUUAAUUCGAAGCAACGCGAAGAACCUUACCAGGUCUUGACAUCCAACUAACGAAGUAGAGAUACAUUAGGUGCCCUUCGGGGAAAGUUGAGACAGGUGGUGCAUGGUUGUCGUCAGCUCGUGUCGUGAGAUGUUGGGUUAAGUCCCGCAACGAGCGCAACCCUUGCUAUUAGUUGCUACGCAAGAGCACUCUAAUAGGACUGCCGUUGACAAAACGGAGGAAGGUGGGGACGACGUUAAAUCAUCAUGCCCCUUAUGACCUGGGCUACACACGUACUACAAUGGAUGUUAACAGAGGGAAGCAAGACAGCGAUGUGGAGCAAACCCCUAAAAACAUUCUCAGUUCAGAUUGCAGGCUGCAACCCGCCUGCAUGAAGAUGGAAUUGCUAGUAAUCGCGGAUCAGCAUGCCGCGGUGAAUACGUUCCCG